UACAGAGGUCUCAAGCGUUGUUCGGAUUCAUUGGGCGUAAAGGGUGCGUAGGCGGCGCGGUAAGUCGGGUGUGAAAUCUCGGAGCUUAACUCCGAAACUGCAUUCGAUACUGCCGUGCUUGAGGACUGGAGAGGAGACUGGAAUUUACGGUGUAGCGGUGAAAUGCGUAGAUAUCGUAAGGAACGCCAGUGGCGAAAGCGAAUCUCUGGGCAGCAACUGACGCUGAGGCACGAAGGCCAGGGGAGCAAACGGG
rnacentral:rRNA from 1 species